rnacentral:rRNA from 1 species
UACGUAGGGGGCAAGCGUUGUCCGGAAUCAUUGGGCGUAAAGCGCGUGUAGGCGGCUGAGUAAGUCUGCUCUGAAAGCCCGGGGCUCAACCCCGGGAGGCGGGUGGAUACUGCUCAGCUCGAGUCCGGAAGAGGAGUGUGGAAUUCCUGGUGUAGCGGUGAAAUGCGCAGAUAUCAGGAGGAACACCAAUGGCGAAGGCAGCACUCUGGGACGGUACUGACGCUGAGACGCGAAAAGCGUGGGGAGCAAACAGG